GUGAUAGUCUGCCAGCUCAAUAGAAAUUUGGGCUUUUUACAUAUAUAGGAAAAAAAAUCAGCAUGGAGAAACCAAAAACCAUUAUCAUUCAUUAUUAUCCUCAUAAGGUUUUUAAAAAUUGACACCAGGUGUCUAUUAAGUUACUAUUUGAUAGGAGAAAUGACAGAAAAUAACUGAAAACUUUGAAAUGUAGAGUCAUUCAUGUAGUACUUGAAAACAGAAGGAGAACUUGGGAUUGGUGAUCUUUAUAUUUUCCCAGAGGAAGCUCAUGAGUUGUAUUUAUAUUUCAUGGGAAUCCAAAUCAGAACUAGAAAUCAGUUCAGACCGGUACUGCUCAUGUGCAGAUACAUUGCCGUUUGAAACUGUCACCCCCUCCACAGGCACAAAAAUCAGAUCACAGACCUGAUCUCCAACAGGGUUAGAAAUUGCAAUGAGCAACUCCCUAGUAGUUGCCAGCUGCUCAUAAACGUCGCUGUAAAGUGCUCCGUUAUCCAUAAAAUUUCAACUGUUGCUGCAUUUCAAUCCAAAAAUUCUUCAAAACUUGAGCAAGUUGUGAUAGCUAGAUGAUCAAGGAGCUAGUUAAGGGACCCUACAUCCCAUUCAGAACAAGAAGAAAAUACUAUUCCAUCUAGCAAACUCUAGAGCUAUUAACACUCCCAUUUAGAUCAAACUAAGAGACAGAUGACCGCCAAGACCAAAUUUUAAGGACAUUUGAACACUAGCAUUUGGCUUAUGAGUUAUGACAAUAUACAAACUUGGUAAUAUUCAACUAAACUUUGGAAAAAGGUUUCGGGUUUAAUCGACAGUUUAACAACAUAACACACGAUGACAUUUUUCAUCAACAACGAUAGAUGAAACGAAAUAAAUUUACUUACUACCGAAGUGUUAGUAGUAAAAUAACGACAUUGUCACGCCACUGUCAUGUGUUGUUACACAUAACUAUAGUUAUAUAACACAUGACAGUCGCAUAAAGUCGAGAUUGUAUCACCACUAACACUCACAUGGUGAGCAAAUUCAUUUCCGAAACAAAACAUAGUUCUAUAGAUUUCAUGAAAUAAGUGAUUUAUCAAGGAUCUUAGCAGUCAAGGGCGUAGAGAAGGGGGGGGGGGGGGGGGGUCAGGGGGUUCAGCUGACGUCUCUCAUAUUUUUUAUUAGGUCAUAUUGUUGUCUAAUUUGUUAGUUGAAAUAUGAUGUUGGCACUAUUUUUUUAUUUUAUUUAUGUUGGCACUAUUUUGACCUUUCUAACUAUAAUUAAAGAAAAGUUUGACAUAUAAAAUAUUAAUUACAACAAUCAAUUUGGACAAAGGAGUGUUCAACUCCUCACGUGUGUUUGUUACGUGUGGUUCUCUUUAUUUUUUUAAUAUAGGUUUCUAAUCCGAAUCAAUAAUUGAUUGCAUCUCCCUUUAAUAUUACAAUUAAAACAUAUUCCUAGUCUUUUUUUGUUGUUUUUUUAAUUAAUAUGUUUUCCUAAUCAAUCAAUGAUUGUGAUUGAUUUCUCAUGCACCUCUAUAUAAAAAAUUUUAGUCGUUUCUUUAUGUAUAUCUUUUUGUUAUCCUUCAGUAAAUUUUUCCCUGUUGUCGACAACCUUCAUAAUUAAAAAUUUGCAAUUAUAGAUGUUUUAGCUUUAUUUGAAAAGUAUCGUAAGAGAAAAGCAGCAGAACCGUCGACACCAUUUUAAGCUCCUCCAAAAUUUCAAAAUAUGAGCAAUCGCCAAGGACAAUUAUAAUUGCUUUAGGGAGAUUUGUUAUUUUGUUUAGUUUUUGUUUUCGAAGUAUUCUAAUGAUUUAUAAGUUUUUAUAUUAUUCAAUAAAAAUUAUAUUUUUAUUUUGUGUGGCAUUAUUGUUUAAACUUUUGAUCUUUCUACUUGUGGUUUCUGGCUACGCCACUGUGCAGUUCUGGUCAGAUCCAUACAUGAUUAUGUUUAGUGAACAUUAAGGGCUCGUUCUUCUACUCCAGUUUAUAUUUGGUUACAAACAUCAAAGAAAUUCAGAACUAAUGAAAUACAGAAAUAGAUGACUCACACAGUAGUGUACAAUCUAAGACGAUCGAUGAUCAACGAAUGAAAUUGAAACAGAGAAGCUCACUAUGAAAAAUUAAAUCAAAGAAGCAAACUGGGAUAAUUUUAGUCGUGCCUGUGGGUGCCUUGCGUCUAUCAACUGUCUUACUCUCUCUGUAUA
rnacentral:lncRNA from 1 species